rnacentral:tRNA from 2 species
GCCCGGGUGGUCUAGUGGUAUGAUUCGCGCUUAGGGUUCACCCAAAGCACAAUUGCGCGAGGUCCCCGGUUCAAUCCCGGGCUCGGGCC